rnacentral:rRNA from 1 species
AUUGAACGCUGGCGGCAUGCUUUACACAUGCAAGUCGAACGGCAGCACGGGGGCAACCCUGGUGGCGAGUGGCGAACGGGUGAGUAAUGCAUCGGAACGUGCCCUGUCGUGGGGGAUAACACAUCGAAAGAUGUGCUAAUACCGCAUACGACCUGAGGGUGAAAGCGGGGGACCGCAAGGCCUCGCGCGACAGGAGCGGCCGAUGUCUGAUUAGCUAGUUGGUGGGGUAAAGGCCUACCAAGGCGACGAUCAGUAGCUGGUCUGAGAGGACGACAAGCCACACUGGGACUGAGACACGGCCCAGACUCCUACGGGAGGCAGCAGUGGGGAAUUUUGGACAAUGGGGGCAACCCUGAUCCAGCCAUGCCGCGUGCGGGAAGAAGGCCUUCGGGUUGUAAACCGCUUUUGUCAGGAACGAAAAGGUCGAGGCUAAUACCCUGGGCUGAUGACGGUACCUGAAGAAUAAGCACCGGCUAACUACGUGCCAGCCGCCGCGGUAAUAC